rnacentral:rRNA from 1 species
CGGACGGGUGAGUAACGCGUGGGUAACCUGCCUUGUACUGGGGGACAACAGUUGGAAACGACUGCUAAUACCGCAUAAGCGCACAGCUUCGCAUGAAGCAGUGUGAAAAGCUCCGGUGGUACAAGAUGGACCCGCGUCUGAUUAGCUGGUUGGUGAGGUAACGGCCCACCAAGGCGACGAUCAGUAGCCGGCCUGAGAGGGUGAACGGCCACAUUGGGACUGAGACACGGCCCAAACUCCUACGGGAGGCAGCAUG